GAUGAACGCUGGCGGCGUGCCUAAUACAUGCAAGUAGAACGCUGAAGGAAGGAGCUUGCUCUUUCCGGAUGAGUUGCGAACGGGUGAGUAACGCGUAGGUAACCUGCCUGGUAGCGGGGGAUAACUAUUGGAAACGAUAGCUAAUACCGCAUAACAGUAGAUAUUGCAUGAUAUCUGCUUGAAAGGGGCAAUUGCUCCACUACCAGAUGGACCUGCGUUGUAUUAGCUAGUUGGUGAGGUAACGGCUCACCAAGGCGACGAUACAUAGCCGACCUGAGAGGGUGAUCGGCCACACUGGGGCUGAGACACGGCCCAGACUCCUACGGGAGGCAGCCGUAGGGAAUCUUCGGCAAUAGACGGAAGUCUGACCGAGCAACGCCGCGGGAGUGAAGAAGGUUUUCGGAUCGUAAAGCUCUGUUGUAAGAGAAGAACGAGUGUGAGAGUGGAAAGUUCACACUGUGACGGUAUCUUACAAGAAAGGGACGGCUAACUACGUG
rnacentral:rRNA from 1 species